rnacentral:rRNA from 1 species
AUUGAACGCUGGCGGCAGGCCUAACACAUGCAAGUCGAGCGGAGCGGCGGACGGGUGAGUAAUGCCUAGUAAUCUGCCUGGUCGUGGGGGAUAACGUCCGGAAACGGGCGCUAAUACCGCAUACUAUCAGAUGAGCCUAGGUCAGAUUAGCUAGUUGGUGGGGUAAGGGCCUACCAAGGCGAUGAUCCGUAACUGGUCUGAGAGGAUGAUCAGUCACACUGGAACUGAGACACGGUCCAUACUCCUACGGGAGGCAGCAGUGGGGAAUAUUGCACAAUGGGCGAAAGCCUGAUGGAGCCAUGCCGCGUGUGUGAAGAAGGCCUUCGGGUUGUAAAGCACUGUCAGCGGGGAGGCGUUACCCAAAGAGGAAGCACCGGCUAACUCCGUGCCAGCAGCCGCGGUAAUAC